rnacentral:rRNA from 2 species
UGGUAAUGCCGGAUGCUCCGACUCCUCGCAUGGGGUGUCGGGAAAGAUUUCAUCGGUAUGGGAUGGGGUCGCGUCCUAUCAGGUAGUCGGCGGGGUAACGGCCCACCGAGCCUACGACGGGUAGCCGGCCUGAGAGGGCGACCGGCCACAUUGGGACUGAGAUACGGCCCAGACUCCUACGGGAGGCAGCAGUGGGGAAUAUUGCACAAUGGGCGCAAGCCUGAUGCAGCGACGCCGCGUGCGGGAUGACGGCCUUCGGGUUGUAAACCGCUUUUGAUCGGGAGCAAGCCUUCGGGUGAGUGUACCUUUCGAAUAAGCACCGGCUAACUACGUGCCAGCAGCCGCGGUAAUACGUAGGGUGCAAGCGUUAUCCGGAAUUAUUGGGCGUAAAGGGCUCGUAGGCGGUUCGUCGCGUCCGGUGUGAAAGUCCAUCGCUUAACGGUGGAUCUGCGCCGGGUACGGGCGGGCUGGAGUGCGGUAGGGGAGACUGGAAUUCCCGGUGUAACGGUGGAAUGUGUAGAUAUCGGGAAGAACACCA